GACGAACGCUGGCGGCGUGCUUAACACAUGCAAGUCGAACGGAAAGGCCCUGCUUUUGUGGGGUGCUCGAGUGGCGAACGGGUGAGUAACACGUGAGUAACCUGCCCUUGACUUUGGGAUAACUUCAGGAAACUGGGGCUAAUACCGGAUAGGAGCUCCUGCUGCAUGGUGGGGGUUGGAAAGUUUCGGCGGGUGGGGAUGGACUCGCGACUUAUCAGCUUGUUGGUGGGGUAGUGGCUUACCAAGGCUUUGACGGGUAGCCGGCCUGAGAGGGUGACCGGCCACAUUGGGACUGAGAUACGGCCCAGACUCCUACGGGAGGCAGCAGUGGGGAAUAUUGCACAAUGGGCGGAAGCCUGAUGCAGCAACGCCGCGUGCGGGAUGACGGCCUUCGGGUUGUAAACCGCUUUCGCCUGUGACGAAGCGUGAGUGACGGUAAUGGGUAAAGAAGCACCGGCUAACUACGUG
rnacentral:rRNA from 1 species